AGAUGUGGUGUGUAUUUGGAUGUAGACUGUCACCUCAGUGAUCAACAAGUUUGAUUUUACUGAUGUAGCUCACUAGACACGCCCUUCCUCUCUCACAGACUCAUCGGAAUUUCUCCUGAAUCUGUAAGCUCAAUCAAGAAAGAUGACCUUCCCACGUAAGAGAGGACCAGUCUUUGCUCAAGAAUAUAUAAUUAGCUGUACUCCCUUCUGAGAACCUCUGAAAAAUAGCCCAGGAGUACACGUGAAAUGUUUUUAAAAAUUAUACUCCAUGUUUAU
rnacentral:snRNA from 1 species